AACGGGAGGGGCAAGCGUUAUCCAGCAUGACUAGGCGUAAAGGGUUCGCAGACUGUCAAGUAAGUUACCUGUUAAACUUUAAAGCCUAACUUUAAAUCAGCUUGUAAUACUGCUUUACUUGAGUUUUAUACGGAAGAGUGGAAUUUUAUACGGAAGGGUAAAAUCUGAAAAUAUAUAAAGGAAUACCAACAGCGAAGGCGACUCUUUAGUAAAAACUGACGUUGAGGGACGAAAGUGUGGGGAGCAAACAGG
rnacentral:rRNA from 1 species